rnacentral:rRNA from 1 species
AAGGNAGCUUGCUCCUUUGACGUUAGCGGCGGACGGGUGAGUAACACGUGGGUAACCUACCUAUAAGACUGGGAUAACUUCGGGAAACCGGAGCUAAUACCGGAUAAUAUUUCGAACCGCAUGGUUCGAUAGUGAAAGAUGGUUUUGCUAUCACUUAUAGAUGGACCCGCGCCGUAUUAGCUAGUUGGUAAGGUAACGGCUUACCAAGGCGACGAUACGUAGCCGACCUGAGAGGGUGAUCGGCCACACUGGAACUGAGACACGGUCCAGACUCCUACGGGAGGCAGCAGUAGGGAAUCUUCCGCAAUGGGCGAAAGCCUGACGGAGCAACGCCGCGUGAGUGAUGAAGGUCUUCGGAUCGUAAAACUCUGUUAUUAGGGAAGAACAUACGUGUAAGUAACUAUGCACGUCUUGACGGUACCUAAUCAGAAAGCCACGGCUAACUACGUGCCAGCAGCCGCGGUAAUACGUAGGUGGCAAGCGUUAUCCGGAAUUAUUGGGCGUAAAGCGCGCGUAGGCGGUUUUUUAAGUCUGAUGUGAAAGCCCACGGCUCAACCGUGGAGGGUCAUUGGAAACUGUAAAACUUGAGUGCAGAAGAGGAAAGUGGAAUUCCAUGUGUAGCGGUGAAAUGCGCAGAGAUAUGGAGGAACACCAGUGGCGAAGGCGACUUUCUGGUCUGUAACUGACGCUGAUGUGCGAAAGCGUGGGGAUCAAACAGGAUUAGAUACCCUGGUAGUCCACGCCGUAAACGAUGAGUGCUAAGUGUUAGGGGGUUUCCGCCCCUU